GAUGAACGCUAGCGGCAGGCUUAAUACAUGCAAGUCGUGGGGCAGCAGGUUUGUAGCAAUACAGAUGCUGGCGACCGGCAAACGGGUGCGGAACACGUACAGAACCUUCCUUGAGCGGGGAAUAGCCCAGAGAAAUUUGGAUUAAUACCCCAUAGUAUAAUGAAGUGGCAUCACUUUAUUAUUAAAGAUUUAUCACUCGAAGAUGGCUGUGCGGCUGAUUAGGUAGUUGGCGGGUAAAGGCCUACCAAGCCUGCGAUCAGUAACUGGUGUGAGAGCACGACCAGUCACACGGGCACUGGGACACGGGCCCGACUCCUACGGGAGGCAGCAGUAAGGAAUAUUGGUCAAUGGAGGCAACUCUGAACCAGCCAUGCCGCGUGGAGGAUGAAGGUCCUCUGGAUUGUAAACUUCUUUUAUAUGGGACGAAAAAGGCUUUUCUAAGUCGUCUGACGGUACCAUAUGAAUAAGCACCGGCUAACUCCGUGCCAGCAGCCGCGGUAAU
rnacentral:rRNA from 1 species